rnacentral:ncRNA from 1 species
GACAUUCUUUGUAGUGAAAUUAUAUUUAAAUUAAAGUCGAUUUCUAUAUGAAAAUAAGUAUAUUUUAUGUAGUUGUUCAGAGAUUAAUUUUAUACAAAUAUUCGAAAGAAUAAUAUAGUCUUCAUUUAUAAAUUUGUGGCUAACAAAGUGCCAGCAGCUGCGGUCAUACUUUCCCAAAAUAUAAAUAUUUGCAGGAACCCAUAUUAUAGUUUACUAUUAAAAUUAAAAAUUAUAGUGAAAUAUAUUUUUUAUAUAGAUCUUUUAUAGUAGAGAAAUAAUAAUUAGGGGAAAUUUUUAUUUUAAACUAGGAUUAGAGACCCUAUUAUUCAAAAUUUAAAAUCAUAUCCUUAGCAGUAAAACUUUCUAAGCUCAAACUAAAACUACAUGGCAGUAAUUAUAAAUUUUAGGGGAACUUACCGAGUAAUAGAUAAUCACCAAGAUACCCUACUUUUUAUAUUCAUUUGUAUGCCGCCGUCUUCUGGUUUAUUUUAAGAAUUAACCAAUUUAUAAACUAUAAUUAUAAAAAGUCAGGUCAAGGUGCAGUUAAUUAAAAAGAUUCAGGCGAGUUACAUUAUUAACUUUAUUACCCAAAUAAUUAUAGUAAUAUCAUAAAAUCAGGUGGACUUAAUAGUAAAAUAUAAAUAAAAAUAUAUAUUGAAAAUUUUAUAUAAUUAUGCACAAAUCGCCCGUCAUUCUCCUAUUAAUAGGAGACAAGUCGUAACAAAGUAGGUUCAGCUGAAGCUGAACCU